AGUACAUAAAUUAAGCUUUAAUUUGAUAUAUGUUUAAAGGACGCAGUAUUUCCGGAACAUUUUCAAAAAUUAAGUUGAAAAAGUUAGUUUUUGUAAAAAAGUUGCUAUUUUAAAUCUCCCUCAAUGAGCAGGUUAAGUGUUAGAUUUUCAAAAAAAUGAUAUCAAAUGAAAGGUAAAUAUCUAAGGUUUUAGUAUAAAAAAAAAUUAUGUUGAUUUGUUGAUUUUUCAAAAAGUUAUGGAAGUUUUAAGAAAAAAAAGUGAAAAAAUUUCGAAAAUUAGCGAUUUUUAAAUUUGUAAUUUUUUUGGAUAUUUCCCCCAUUUGCGGGGAACGAGGGAAUUUUUUUCAAUUUUUAAGGGUAAUGUCUUCAACUAGAUACGAUUUGUGAUCUUUUGACGUAUUUUUCAAAGAAAUCGGUCCAGUGAGAGCUGAGAAAAAGUGGCAACAGACAUAAAAAAAAAAAAAAACACAUCAUAGUAAAAUUAA